rnacentral:sRNA from 1 species
AGCAGCCGCGGUAAUUCCAGCUCCAAUAGCGUAUAUUAAAGUUGUUGCAGUUAAAAAGCUCGUAGUUGAAUUUCGGGGUCAGUAGGUCGGUCGUGCCACAGGUAUGCACUGGUCUCACUGAUUCCUCCUUCCUGAUGAACCGUAAUGCCAUUAAUUUGGUGUUGCGGGGAGACUUGGACUGUUACUUUGAAAAAUUGAGUGUUUAAAGCAGGCUAACGCUUGAAUACAUUAGCAUGGAAUAACGGAAUAGGACGUUCGAUCUUAUUUUGUUGGUUUCUAAGAUUGACGUAAUGAUUAAUAGGGAUAGUUGGGGGCAUUAGGUAUUCAAUU